rnacentral:rRNA from 1 species
GUCGAACGCUGGCGGCGUGCCUAACACAUGCAAGUCGAACGAAGUGGCGAACGGGUGAGUAACGCGUAAUCAACCUGCCCUUCAGAGGGGGUCACCAGUUGGAAACGACUGCUAAUACCGCAUACUGAUGGAGGGGAUUGUGUCUGAUUGGCUAGUUGGAGGGGUAAUGGCCCACCAAGGCGAAGAUCAGUAGCCGGGGUGAGAGGAUGAACGGGCACAGUGGGACUGAGACACGGCCCAGACUCCUACGGGAGGCAGCAGUGGGGAAUCAUCCGAAAUGGACGAAAGGCUGGCGGAGCAACGCCGCGUGAGUGAUGACGGCCUUCGGGUUGUAAAGCUAUGUUAAUCGGGACGCGGUACCGGAAUAGAAAGCCACGGCUAACUACGUGCCAGCAGCCGCGGUAAUAC